UCUCUGAAGAGUCAGGCAGGCCAGCAAUGCUGGACUACAGUGACUCCCGGCUCCUUUCCUAGUUCAGAGGCUUUUGGCUCAAGGUUCCACCCGGAAGUAUGGUUCUCAACUACACACUCAGAUCACCUGGUACACUUUUAAAAAAAUACCAGUGCCUUCUCUCGGACCAAUUGAAUCCGAAGCGCUGAAGGAGCAAACCUGGCAGGUGUGGCCCACAGGCUCUCUUAAAGCAUCAUGGCCAAAGAAAUCAUCCCUCCUCACUCCUCCCCAACACGGCAAAAUGCUUACCCUCUCUUCAUACAAGGGAGUUGCAAGCAGAAGGCUACAAGAACUCAGAAUUCGAAAGCUGCCAACCUGGUCUGAGAGCUGAGUUUACAUCCCUUUGUCUCGCAUGCCCUGUGACUU